CUCAGUCACAGUGGAGAGGGAACCUCAGUGUAGAUAAACCCCUCAGAGGUCUCAGUCACAGUGGAGAGGGAACCUCAGUGUAGAUAAACCCCUCUGGGGUCUCAGUCACAGUGGAGAGGGAACCUCAGUGUAGAUAAACCCCUCUGGGGUCUCAGUCACAGUGGAGAGGGAACCUCAGUGUAGAUAAACCCCUCUGGGGUCUCAGUCACAGUGGAGAGGGAACCUCAGUGUAGAUAAACCCCUCAGAGGUCUCAGUCACAGUGGAGAGGGAACCUCAGUGUAGAUAAACCCCUCUGGGGUCUCAGUCACAGUGGAGAGGGAACCUCAGUGUAGAUAAACCCCUCUGGG